UAGUGAUCCGGUGGUUCUGAAUGGAAGGGCCAUCGCUCAACGGAUAAAAGGUACUCCGGGGAUAACAGGCUGAUACCGCCCAAGAGUUCAUAUCGACGGCGGUGUUUGGCACCUCGAUGUCGGCUCAUCACAUCCUGGGGCUGAAGUAGGUCCCAAGGGUAUGGCUGUUCGCCAUUUAAAGUGGUACGCGAGCUGGGUUUAGAACGUCGUGAGACAGUUCGGUCCCUAUCUGCCGUGGGCGCUGGAGAACUGAGGGGGGCUGCUCCUAGUACGAGAGGACCGGAGUGGACGCAUCACUGGUGUUCGGGUUGUCAUGCCAAUGGCACUGCCCGGUAGCUAAAUGCGGAAGAGAUAAGUGCUGAAAGCAUCUAAGCACGAAACUUGCCCCGAGAUGAGUUCUCCCUGACUCCUUGAGAGUCCUGAAGGAACGUUGAAGACGACGACGUUGAUAGGCCGGGUGUGUAAGCGCAGCGAUGCGUUGAGCUAACCGGUACUAAUGAACCGUGAGG
rnacentral:rRNA from 1 species